rnacentral:rRNA from 1 species
CCUACGGGUGGCUGCAGUGGGGAAUAUUGCGCAAUGGGCGAAAGCCUGACGCAGCGACGCCGCGUGAGUGAUGAAGGUCUUCGGAUCGUAAACCCCUGUCAGCAGGGAAGAAAGGUCACUGUGCUAAUCAGCAGUGAUUUGACGGUACCUGCAAAGGAAGCACCGGCUAACUCCGUGCCAGCAGCCGCGGUAAUACGGAGGGUGCGAGCGUUAAUCGGAUUUAAUGGGCGUAAAGCGCUCGUAGGCGGUAUGUCAAGUCAAGGGUGAAAUCCUCGGGCUCAACGUGGGAAGUGCCUUUGAAACUGGGACACUUGAGUGGGUGAGAGGAGAGUGGAAUUCCAGGUGUAGGAGUGAAAUCCGUAGAUAUCUGGAGGAACACCAGUGGCGAAGGCGACUAUCUGGCACAUAACUGACGCUGAGGAGCGAAAGCGUGGGUAGCAAACAGGAUUAGAUACCCGAGUAGUC